rnacentral:rRNA from 1 species
AUUGAACGCUGGCGGCAGGCAUAACACAUGCAAGUCGAGCGAGCGGCGGACGGGUGAGUAAUGCCUGGGAAUUGCCAUGUCGAGGGGGAUAACCGUUGGACACGACUGCUAAUAGCGCCUACGCUUGGAUUUCUCAGGUGGGAUUAGCUAGUUGGUGAGGUAAUGGCUCACCAAGGCGACGAUCCCUAGCUGGUCUGAGAGGAUGAUCAGCCAAACGGGAACUGAGACACGGUCCAGACGCCUACGUGAGGCAGCAGUGGGGAAUAUUGCACAAUGGGGGCAACCCUGAUGCAGCCAUGCCGCGUGUAUGAAGAAGGCCUUCGGGUUGUAAAGCACUUUCAGCGAGGAGGCGUUACUCGCAGAAGAAGCACCGGCUAACUCCGUGCCAGCAGCCGCGGUAAUUC